CUGGCGGCGUGCCUAACACAUGCAAGUCGAGCGAGGAGAUCCUCGGGAUGAUCCUAGCGGCGGACGGGUGAGUAACACGUGGGCAACCUGCCUCAUAGAGAGGAAUAGCCUUCCGAAAGGGAGAUUAAUACCUCAUAACAUUGCAGUUUCGCAUGGAACAGCAAUUAAAGGAGUAAUCCGCUAUGAGAUGGGCCCGCGGCGCAUUAGCUAGUUGGUGAGGUAACGGCUCACCAAGGCGACGAUGCGUAGCCGACCUGAGAGGGUGAUCGGCCACAUUGGGACUGAGACACGGCCCAGACUCCUACGGGAGGCAGCAGUGGGGAAUAUUGCACAAUGGGGGAAACCCUGAUGCCAGCAACGCCGCGUGAGUGAUGACGGCCUUCGGGUUGUAAAGCUCUGUCUUCAGGGACGAUAAUGACGGUACCUGAGGAGGAAGCCACGGCUAACUACGUGCCAGCCGCCGC
rnacentral:rRNA from 1 species